GCCUACUGGUCAGAGGCCAAGGUUAUGCGUCACUGAUUGAUGCGUGUGUACGUAACCACUCAGUCCACUGUGUUGCUGUGUAGUUUACAUAGACAGAAAGAUUUCUUUUGAAACAAAUAGAAUCUUCAUCUAAAUAUGAUUUAGACUUUUCAAAAUAUUCAUCAUGGAUUAAAACUCUAGAUCUACAAUGGUGAACAAAUGUCUCGUUUUGUAAAGGAUCUAGAUCUAGCACUACUAGUAACUAGCAGAUAUGCUUUCCAAUAACCAAAAGAUGAUGAAUGAUGGCUUAGAAAGAAAAAAUGGCCAGCGGUAAUACCUUUGGCUUAGUAGAAGGAUUAGAUCUACGUACCAUUAAAGGAGUACUCUAAAAUCUGCCAUUAACAUUUUCAAGACGAAGUAUCAUGGACAGUAUUGAAGGAUUACGUACUAUAAAGGAAUACUCUAAAAUCUGCCGUUAACAUUUUGAAGACGAUGAAGUAUUGUGGACUAGCUACUACACAUGAAAGAGUAGAGAGUGCAUUAAAAAAAGUGUUAAGUCUCAGGAAGUCGCAGGAUGGCUAAGUCUAAGUCUAGACCUAAUCUGCCAUUAACAUUUUCAAGACGAAGUAUCAUGGACAGUAUUGAAGGAUUACGUACUAUAAAGGAAUACUCUAAAGUGAG